rnacentral:rRNA from 1 species
AACAAGGUUUCCGUAGGUGAAC